UCGGGACCCUGGGAUCAUAAUUUGAGCCGAAGGGAGAGGCUUAACCAACUGAGCCACCAAGUGUAACCGAGUCUGUCCCCUGCUCAACAUCUCUCAUCGUCUACUUCCCAGUGUCUACAGUCUCCUCUGCCACCCAGAACCAGCAGAGCCAAGUGCACCAGGACACGGCAGGCCCCCAGCAUUGCUCAGAUCUCUCCCUCUUGAACCCCAAAGCUUGAUGGCUACUUUUUCAGGGUGUCAGGAUUCAGGUCACAUUUUAUACUUUCUGGAAAGCCUUCCUGGCUUUCACUGUGGCCACCUGAGAGGAACUGGCCAUUCGCCCCCUGUGCCCCUCAGGUCAUUGAUAAAUAAGCCUUUAUCACCCAGAACUCUGUUUGCACUUUAUUUCACACAUCCUUUAGAUGUCUGACUCGCCCCUGCUCUGAGGGCAGGGCCAAUGUCUAACUAGCUCUUCUGGGAAGCAAUAGUGCCUAACAGUAGAUCUGGAGAAUGUUUGUUCAAUAGAAGUUUAUCGAACAGCAAUUUC